CUAGCGACUUCAGAGUUUGAUCCUGGCUCAGGACGAACGCUGGCGGCGUGCCUAACACAUGCAAGUCGAACGGAGCUUGUUUGAAUUGAGACUUCGGUCAAUUUUCAUUUAAGCUUAGUGGCGGACGGGUGAGUAACGCGUGAGUAACCUGCCGUUCAGAGGGGGACAACAGUUGGAAACGACUGCUAAUACCGCAUAAUGUAUCUCUGGGACAUCCCUAAGAUACCAAAGGAGUAAUCCGCUGAAUGAUGGACUCGCGUCUGAUUAGAUAGUUGGUGGGGUAACGGCCUACCAAGUCGACGAUCAGUAGCCGGACUGAGAGGUUGAACGGCCACAUUGGGACUGAGACACGGCCCAG
rnacentral:rRNA from 1 species